UCCAACGCCCCCAGCUGUUUGCGCCCUUCUCCCCCAUCCUCUGUUCUUCCCCCUGGCAUCCACAACUCCCCACCCCAUAACUCCGCCGCCAGCAAACCCCAGAACCCCUAGAUCUAUCCCCUUGAAUCAACCAACAAUGGAGAGGGAAAAAGUGAACCUGCUGUAGCAAAAUUCAGAGUUUCAGACUUCUCCAUAGAGCAGAGGAAGGGGAAUCAGUUUUGUAAAAAGAAAAAAAGAUGGAUGCGGGUGCUGGUAAAGGGGCGCACAGGACUCACCACGAGUGUUAGAAAACUGGAACAAAGAACCAAAAAGCUUGUCUGAUCUUUAUCGAGGAGCAGCUACAUGGAAUGCU